rnacentral:misc_RNA from 1 species
AAGUCGUAACAAGGUUUCCGUAGGUGAACCUGCGGAAGGAUCAUUACAGAGAAAUUGCCCUUCGGGGUAGAUCUCCUACCCUUUGUUUAUAUUACCUUUGUUGCUUUGGCAGGCCCGUCUCUUGACCAUCGGCUUAGGCUGGUCCGCGCCUGCCAGAGAACCCUAAACUCCUGAUUUUUGUGUUGUCUGAGUAAGAUUAUAAUAAGUUAAAACUUUCAACAACGGAUCUCUUGGUUCUG